CGCGUGUACUGGUCCGGCCGGGCCUUUCCCUCUGUGGAACCCCAUGCCCUUCACUGGGUGUGGCGGGGAAACAGGACUUUUACUGUGAAAAAAUUAGAGUGCUCCAGGCAGGCCUAUGCUCGAAUACAUUAGCAUGGAAUAAUAGAAUAGGACGUGUGGUUCUAUUUUGUUGGUUUCUAGGACCGCCGUAAUGAUUAAUAGGGACAGUCGGGGGCAUCAGUAUUCAAUUGUCAGAGGUGAAAUUCUUGGAUUUAUUGAAGACUAACUACUGCGAAAGCAUUUGCCAAGGAUGUUUUCAUUAAUCAGGAACGAAAGUUAGGGGAUCGAAGACGAUCAGAUACCGUCGUAGUCUUAACCAUAAACUAUGCCGACUAGGGAUCGGACGGUGUUAUAUUUUGACCCGUUCGGCACCUUACGAGAAAUCAAAGUGCUUGGGCUCCAGGGGGAGUAUGGUCGCAAGGCUGAAACUUAAAGAAAUUGACGGAAGGGCACCACCAGGGGUGGAGCCUGCGGCUUAAUUUGACUCAACACGGGGAAACUCACCAGGUCCAGACACAAUGAGGAUUGGCAGAUUGAGAGCUCUUUCUUGAUUUUGUGGGUGGUGGUGCAUGGCCGUUCUUAGUUGGUGGAGUGAUUUGUCUGCUUAAUUGCGAUAACGAACGAGACCUUAACCUGCUAAAUAGCCCGUAUUGCUUUGGCAGUACGCUGGCUUCUUAGAGGGACUAUCGG
rnacentral:rRNA from 1 species